rnacentral:rRNA from 1 species
CAGCAGCCGCGGGAAUACGUAGGGUGCAAGCGUUAAUCGGAAUUAUUGGGCGUAAAGCGAGUGCAGACGGUUACUUAAGCCAGAUGUGAAAUCCCCAAGCUUAACUUGGGACGUGCAUUUGAAACUGGGUGACUAGAGUGUGUCAGAGGGAGGUAGAAUUCCACAUGUAGCGGUGGAAUGCGUAGAGAUGUGGAGGAAUACCGAUGGCGAAGGCAGCCUCCUGGGAUAACACUGACGUUGAGGCUCGAAAGCGUGGGGAGCAAACAGGACUAGAUACCCCGGUAGUCCCUGUCUCUUAUAU